GUAAAUACAUCUAAGUAACAGAAACUACGAGAGAAGGUGGAAAAGGAGAUGGUGGUGGAGAUAUAGGUGAAGAAGGAAGUGGUGGUGAAAAUGUAGGUGGAGUAGGAGGAGAAAAGUGGAAAAGAGAAAGAGAGAGAGAAAUAGAGAGAAAAGUAUAAUUCGAAUACCAGCUCAGAUGACAUGUUCGAUCCAGUCUCGCAUUCGUAUAUUUUACAAAACCAGAUAGACAACAUGUUCAAAAUUUCUCGAAACGAGUCUUGGGACGAAUACGUGUGACCAAAUUUGGAACUAAAAAUCUGAUAUCCUUGGUAAUCAAAAAAAAAGACAGUACUAUCUUAAAUAUCGAAAUUUUGAAUCCGUCUUAGAAUCACUUUUACCAGUAAAGACUCCCGUAAGGAUUUAAUACGUGAAAAUCAUUCGUAAACUUUAGGAGGUCACAAGGGAAUAAUCAAGAACUACAAUAGAAUGAGACAGAAAUAAUUCUGGGGAUGUAUAAAACAUCAGAUUCAAGUUUUCGUGCAAAAUCGUUUAGACUGCCAAUUGAAGAAACUCGUUAGGGUCAACAUUUGAUAAAAUUGCGUUACAUGUAAUGGGUUCUCUCUCUCAGACUUAGAAAGGAAAUAAAUAUAUCUUUACCUAUCAUAAACACUACUUUUAUUGACAUAGCAAAUGCUAUGAUAGCAAAUAGAAUAUGUAAAUUUGAAACACCACACUCCAUCUCAUCGGAUCAGGCCGCUAACUAUUGGAAUUCUUUGAUAAAAGCGAUAGCACACAAAUUGAAAAUCAGACAGUAUAGGAAAUGGCGUUCUUUCCUCAAUCUAAUGGGUCUAUCGAGUUGUUGCAUCAAAUAUUAGUAGAAUAUCUCAAACAAUUUACUAUCAGGGAAAAGGAUUGGGACGAAUGACUAGACACUGCGAUGCUCUUGUAUGACACGAGUGUUCAUGAGAGAACACGAUUUACAUCCUAUGAAUUUGUAUUCGGUAGGAUAACUCGGAUGCCGGCAUCUAAUCCGCCAUUAGACGAUGACAUGGAAAAUAUUCCAAGGCAAAAAAAAUAUCGAAAAAAUAUUAUGAUAAAAAAAUAAAUCCUAAAACAUUAAAAGAAAGAAGAUGACUCAAUCCUGAUCAUUCCAACCCCCAGAAACUCGAUUAAGAGGCAAUUCAUUGGCUUAUGUUGGCUUGACGUCAUUCCCACCCCUGUCCUGCACGACCUAUGUACUUGGAUGAUGACCUAUGUACCUAUUUUCCGUAUAAGAGAAAGAGAAAGACAAAAAGAAAGAAAAAGAGAAUGAGAGAGUUUGAGUGGGUAGAAUAUGAGGGAAUGGUUGAAUUAAAAUACUCCUUCUUACUAGGCGAGUAACAUAGGCGAGAAAAGGAGAUGUUAAAAUUUAGGAGGCUUUAUUUGGUGCAUUCUUCGAUCUUCCCUUUACCCUCUAUGCAAAAAAAACUAAAUCGAUUCAUUAUUUUUUUAUUAUUGUUAAUUUAUUCGUGUACCGUGAUGAAUACUAUAUUUUAUAAAUAUUAUAUAUUAUAAAACUAUUCUAUAUAAGCAUGUUUUUUUUAUUGAAAAUAGAGAAAAAAGAAGCAAAAAUAGGGAUUAUAUAUUACUUUAAAAAAGAAAAACAAAAUUUUUUUAAUGGUGGGUUGGUGUAAUUACGUCUAAAUUCUCCAACGCCAUCUAACAAUCUAUCCUGGAAAUGGAAAACUUAUAAAGAAAUAAUAGCGCUGUUAUUAGACGUAUAAGGUUAAGUUAUCUUAGUUUUAUAAUCAAUCUUCGUUUAAAAAACAGAUUGAUAGAUAUGUUUGAUCCUAUGGCUUUUGAUAGUGAUAUACUUUUGUUAUGUGUAACAAUUAUAUUAAGUUAAUACCAAUAUUCAAGAAAAUCAUUUGCAUAACCAUAUUCUGAAUAUAUAUAGAUCUAUCUAAAAAUAAUAUUUUACUAUGUCUUUAUUACAAAUUAUUCGAUACAACGAAUUAUUCGUUAUUUUUCCGUUAACUACAAGUCAUCUUUGUAUAUUAUUGCUAAUAUUCGACAUCAUUAAGGAUAAUAAAUAUUAAAAUCUUAAGACUUUUUUUAAGAGAAUUCCUUCUGAGUAAUUCGUCCAAUGGAAAGAGCAAUGUCGUCCUUCAAUUCAAGAGAGACUUCAACGCCACAAUUAAUUCAUCUAUUAAACAAGAGUACAAGAAACAAAAGAUUCUAUCAAACAUUUAUAAAGUUGGUUGAAGAACAUUAGUAACAGGUGCAAUUAAACAUGUAAAAUAAAUGUGGAAAAAAUGUCAUGCGAAGCAAAUAAACAAAAUAAUGUUUUAAUAAGAAAUACUGACCAGCAACAUUUUUCAUGGAAAGACAUUUUGGAAUAUUCACAUAUUUGAUAUUUAUUGAUUUCUUUGUCACCAAUGAUGGUCGGAGGAAAGACAAGAAAGAACUGUCAGGAAAUAUAGAAUUUAAAAAUUUUUAAUUUAACUAUCCAAGUCGAUCGAAUCACAUUAUUUUGAAGAAUUUUAAUUUGGAUAUUCUUUCUAUAUGAUGUCGACGAAGGUAGCAUAUCUGUUGAUAAAUGGGACAUUAGGUCUCUUCAUUCUACCUACCUUAGAGGUAUUGUAUUAGCGCAUAUAAAUUAAGAACCCGUACUUUUUGCGACUAGUAUAAUGGGGAAUAUUUGUCAUAGAAAACAAGAUGCGACGGACGAGAAGAUCAUAAAAGCGGCAAAAGAAGCUAAUGCUCAUGAAUUCAUUACAAAAUUUCCAAGAAGUUAUGAAACUUAAAAUGACGAGAGAGGCGUAAUAUUAUUUGGUGGAUUAAAGCAAUCAUCGAUUUUAACAUUAGUCUAAACAACGAUAUGUAAAGAAACUAAAUAUAAUUAGUCACGUAUCUUAUUCUGUAUUCUAUAUGAAUUUUAUCUUUUUUAAAUUUAAUGUAUUGAAUUAUGAAAACGAAAAAAUGGUUCACAAUGCGUUUGAAAAUUAACUAGAAAUAGGUUAGUUAUUGCUCAUAGACUAAGUACUAUUAAACCUGCUUACGUUAUUAUUGUAUUACAAUAUGUUAUUGUAGAGAUAGGUUGAAAAAUGAAUCGCUGUUCUUUUACUAUCUGCGCACAGCUACUUUAUCUUGCAACGUUUUGUUCUUUUUUUUCCUUUUUUUUCUUUUCUUCUUUACAAUUUACAAUUAAAAAUGAAUUAAAAGAUAUUGACAAUUGACAAUUAAUAUUUUUUUUUAAUUGUUAAAAAUGUUUAUCUUUAAUAAUUAAUUUUUUCAAUUAUUUUUUAUUAUUCGAUAUUAUAUUAAAUUUAAUCGUAUUAUUCUGUUUUAUAAUUGAUGCAUCAUUAAUGAUUAACAAAAUGUAAUUUCUUUUGAAAAAGGCUUAAGUUCAAUUUUUUUAAUGUAAAACAAAUUUCGUAGAACUAUUAUUAUUAUGAUAUAAUUACUUAUAAUUACUAAUUAUUGUAAUUAUUAAUGUUAAUCGCUAUAAUAUUAUUUCUUAUUUCAUAUACAAAGUUUUAAAUGUUUCUUUUUGUAAGUCUAAGUUAUAUUUAAAGUUGCGUUAUAAGAAGUAAAUUUGAUUAUGAAGUAACUCAUGAAAUGAAUGUAGUGUUAUUAAAUAAUCAUGAUAACAUAAUCUUAUGAAAUUGUGUACUAUGGUUCGAUGGGAGUAAAAUGAGCGAAAAAAUUUCUCUUCCUAAUUAAAUUUCAUACCAUCAAAACUGUUCAAUGGCUUUUCUUCAAACCAUGUUUGACUUCAGCGACAGAUAUCGACAAAUCAUGAAUUAUGAAUACAAGCGGUGAACGGUAAUCCCAGCAUGCUUCCAUCGUAUCCGAAUAUAAGCUUGUGUUGGUUAUUCUCGCCUCAUGCUCAUAUAAUAAUCGGUUUCAUUUGGGGUAGAGUAAGUAGUGUUAGUAGACUGAACUCGUCCUUUUCAGUUUCUCAUAAGUGUAUCUUUCUUUGAUGGUAGCAUGUGUCUUACAGUGAAUUGUGCUAGAUACGAAGUCAGUACUAAUUUGUUUCACAAUAAAUGUAUAGAAAAUAAUAAAUAUAAUUAACACGUAUAAGAAUUAGUAUAUAAAUCUGCGACAAAAAUAGGAAUAUGUCGAAUAUUAUUUUUAUAAUAAUUAGUGAAUAGUUGUAUAUUAUAUUAUAUUAAUACAAAUUAAAAAGAAUUCAAUUCCUCACUAUCCAUGAAAUAAAACUUCUACCGCUAUCUUU